AACGAACGCUGGCGGCAGGCUUAACACAUGCAAGUCGAACGGGUGUAGCAAUACAUCAGUGGCAGACGGGUGAGUAACACGUGGGAACCUUCCUAGGGGUACGGAACAACUCAGGGAAACUUGAGCUAAUACCGUAUACGUCCGUGAGGAGAAAGAUUUAUCGCCCUUAGACGGGCCCGCGGCGGAUUAGCUAGUUGGUGGGGUAACGGCCUACCAAGGCGACGAUCCGUAGCUGAGCUUAGAGGAUGAUCAGCCACACUGGGACUGAGACACGGCCCAGACUCCUACGGGAGGCAUCAGUGGGGAAUCUUGGACAAUGGGCGCAAGCCUGAUCCAGCCAUGCCGCGUGAGUGAAGAAGGUCUUCGGAUUGUAAAGCUCUUUUGCCAGGGACGAUAAUGACGGUACCUGGAGAAUAAGCCCCGGCAAACUUCGUGCCAGCCGCCGCCGUAACAC
rnacentral:rRNA from 1 species